rnacentral:rRNA from 1 species
CAGUCGCCACGGUAAUACGUAGGUGGCAAGUGUUGCCCGGAAUUAUUGGGCGUAAAGGGCUCGCAGGCGGUUUCUUAAGUCUGAUGUGAAAGCCCCCGGCUCAACCGGGGAGGGUCAUUGGAAACUGGGAAACUUGAGUGCAGAAGAGGAGAGUGGAAUUCCACGUGUAGCGGUGAAAUGCGUAGAGAUGUGGAGGAACACCAGUGGCGAAGGCGACUCUCUGGUCUGUAACUGACGCUGAGGAGCGAAAGCGUGGGGAGCGAACAGGAUUAGAUACCCCGGUAGUCCCUGUCUCUUAUAC